GAGUUUGAUCAUGGCUCAGGACGAACGCUGGCGGCAUGUCUAACACAUGCAUGUCGAACGGAGUAAGAGAGAAGCUUGCUUAGCUCUUACUUAGUGGCGGACGGGUGAGUAACGCGUGAGUAACCUGCCUUUCAGAGGGGGAUAACGUUCUGAAAAGAACGCUAAUACCGCAUGAUAUAUUGGGGUCGCAUGGCCUUGGUAUCAAAGGAGCAAUCCGCUGAAAGAUGGACUCGCGUCCGAUUAGCCAGUUGCCGGGGUAAAGGCCCACCAAAGCGACGAUCGGUAGCCGGGUUGAGAGACUGAACGGCCACAUUGGGACUGAGACACGGCCCAGACUCCUACGGGAGGCAGCAGUGGGGGAUAUUGCACAAUGGAGGAAACUCUGAUGCAGCAAUGCCGCGUGAGGGAAGACGGUCUUCGGAUUGUAAACCUCUGUCCUUGGUGAAGAUAAUGACGGAGCCAAGGAGGAA
rnacentral:rRNA from 1 species